AUGGUUUCUGUUCCUCUUCCCGCUCUUCCUCUUGUUUGUGCUUUAUUAUUGGUUCACUUGGAAGACAGGAAAAAGGCAACAGCGAGAAGGCAGACUCCCGCCAUCACCACGGGCGCUGCCCAUCAUCGGCCACCUGCACCUCCUCGGAUCGCUCCCACACGUCUCGCUCCGCAGCCUUGCCAGGAAGCAUGGCCCCGACGUGAUGCUCCUUCGUCUCGGCGAUGUGCCGGCGCUCGUCGUGUCGUCACCGUGUGCCGCAGAGGCAGUGCUGCGCACGCAUGA
rnacentral:rRNA from 1 species